rnacentral:rRNA from 1 species
AACGAACGCUGGCGGCAUGCCUAACACAUGCAAGUCGAACGAGACCUUCGGGUCUAGUGGCGCACGGGUGCGUAACGCGUGGGAACCUGCCCUUAGGUUCGGAAUAACUCCCCGAAAGGGGUGCUAAUACCGGAUAAUGUCUUCGGACCAAAGAUUUAUCGCCUUUGGAUGGGCCCGCGUUGGAUUAGCUAGUUGGUAGGGUAAAAGCCUACCAAGGCGACGAUCCAUAGCUGGUCUGAGAGGAUGAUCAGCCACACUGGGACUGAGACACGGCUCAGACUCCUACGGGAGGCAGCAGUGGGGAAUAUUGGACAAGGGGCGAAAGCCUGAUCCAGCAAUGCCGCGUGAGUGAUGAAGGCCUUAGGGUUGUAAAGCUCUUUUACCCGGGAUGAUAAUGACAGUACCGGGAGAAUAAGCUCCGGCUAACUCCGUG